GUGAGCCUCUUGAUGGGAGUGCUGGGAACCAAACUUAAGUCCUCUGCAAGAGCAGCAAGCCUUCUUAGAGGCUGAGCCACUUCUCUAGUGGGACAUUGUUUUUUGACGUGUCUCUUACUGGCCUGGAACUCCCCCAAAAGGCAGGGCUGGCUGGUCAUCAAGUAUCAAGAAUCUUCCUGUCUCUGUCUUUCCAGCUCUGAGAAUAUAAGCCUUUUAAAAAUUUGGACUCUGAGGAUUUAACUUCAGGUCCUCAGCCUGCUAUCAGCAUUAGCCCCCUACUCCUUGGGAUCGGUUUUUAUUCUUCAUUUUCCUGUGUUCUUGGCUCUAAUGUCCCUUUUUGUAGAUGGCUCUGAGUGCCAGGUCACAUGUUGGACGCCAAAAUGUAAAUGGAGUUCUUAAUUGGUCUAGAGAAUAAAAAGCCAGAGUCAGAUAGAGGGAAAUGCUGAGAGAUCAGAGAGAAGGAGCAAGCCACAGGCCACCUUACCUCCUUAGUGUCUCAGCAGACAAGAGAGUGAUUUCCUGUUCCUCCCUGUUUAUAUCCUGCUUCUGCCCAACUACUUCACUUCCUGUCUGUCCAUACAGACCUCCAGACCUCUAUGGUUAGCUGGUGGCAAGCUCCAGUCUCUGAACCCCCAGAGACAAGCUUUAUUUGUACAAGCAAGAUAUUACCACAUGCCCAGGAUCAUCUGGAAGGUCUUGCACAUACUGGCAACAGGAAGAAGCUUGCUGUAGAAUGGGUUGGCGCUAAAGACCAGAACCUGUGA
rnacentral:lncRNA from 1 species